AAUUGCAGCGCCACCCAGUGAUUCUCUUCAUCAGUCGAUUCACUGGAGAAAUGAAAGGUCACGAUCUCGAGUUGGAGAAAUCCCGAUUGCUUAGCUUGGCGCUCGAUGGCGGAUUCGAUGAAGAUUCGGCCAACAAAUGCUUAGAGCGUUUCAUCUCUCUUUACGGUGAUGAUGGCCAAGAUUUCAUCAGUGUGGAGUACUGCGGUGAUGAUUUUCUUGCUGUAUUAGCAGAAUCCAUGCAAGACAUUGAGGAAUGGGAUGAUUUACAGGCUGUAGAGUCAGAAGCAUGUGGAGCUCUCAAUAAAAUGUUUGAAAGUGAUAUUCUCUGCAAUAAUGAAGCACACAACAAGGAGAAUAAAAGAGAAUACAUCAAUGUCUUAGAAGAUUCACCUGAACCCAAGAAACAGCCAAAUGUGGUGGAGGUAGAUUCUUCUAGUGACAGUGAAUACUUCAUUCAAAGUUCGCGUAUCAGUUCUUCCAUUUCUCAGGAAAAGGAUUGUAGGAGCAGUGUCACUCAAGCGUCCGUUACAUCAAAUUACAAUAAAAGGAGAUCCUCCCGAAUAUCAAACAAUGAAAAUUUUACUCUCAGUUAUGAAGAAUUGCAGGAAUUGGAUGAUUUUAAAUUGGCAAAUGUUGUAAUAUUUGGCAACCCAACAUUUCGACCAUUGCAGCAUCAGGCCUGUAAAGCAUUUGUGGCAAAACAAGAUUGCUUUAUUCUUAUGCCCACCGGAGGUGGUAAAAGUUUAUGUUAUCAGCUUCCGGCAACCAUGAAACCAGGUGUAACUGUGGUUGUAUCUCCCCUGCUAUCCCUCAUUCAGGAUCAGAUAAUUACACUGAACCUCAAGUUUGGAGUACCAGCAACCUUUCUGAAUUCUCAACAAACUGCUUCACAAUCACUGGCCAUCCUGCAAGAGCUAAGGAAGGACAAGCCAUCAUGUAAGCUCUUAUAUGUAACUCCAGAGAGGGUUGCUGGAAACCUGUCAUUUCUUGAGACAUUGAAAUGCCUGCAUCGGAGGGGACAGCUGGCUGGUUUUGUUGUUGAUGAAGCACAUUGUGUGAGUCAGUGGGGCCAUGAUUUUCGUCCAGACUACAGAGGAUUAGGAUGCCUUAAGCAGAAUUUCUCAGAUGUUCCUCUCAUGGCAUUGACUGCAACGGCAACCCAGUCAGUCCGUGAGGACAUCUUAAAAGUUCUGAGAAUUCCACGUGCCCUCAUUCUCGAGACAAGCUUUGAUAGACCGAAUCUGAAGUAUGAAGUGAUUGGCAAGACUAAGGAAUCACUAAAGCAGCUUGGGGAGCUUCUAAAAAGUCGUUUCAAAAACCAAUGUGGAAUUGUAUACUGCCUCUCAAAAAGUGAAUGUGUCGAGGUUUCAACUUUUUUGAAUGAUAAAAGUAAGAUCAAGACAGUAUAUUAUCACGCUGGUUUGACAGCUCGUCAAAGAAUUGCUGCACAAAAGAAGUGGCAUACUGGAGAAGUCAACAUUGUAUGUGCUACUAUUGCAUUUGGGAUGGGAAUAGACAAACCAGAUGUUCGCUUUGUUAUUCACAAUACUCUGUCAAAAUCAAUUGAAAGCUAUUAUCAGGAAUCUGGAAGGGCUGGAAGAGAUAAUCUUCGUUCUGCAUGCAUUGUUCUAUACCAAAAGAAGGAUUUCAGUCGGGUUGUAUGUAUGUUACGGAGUGGACAAGGAAAUAAGAAGGAAAGCUUCAAGACGGCAAUGGGUCAAGCUCAGAAAAUGAAGCAGUACUGUGAACUUAAGGCCGAAUGUCGAAGGCAAACACUACUCGAACAUUUUGGUGAGUCUUUUGACCGAAAAGCUUGCAAAUAUGGUUCUAAUCCUUGUGACAACUGUCUGAACACUUCCUUAUGAGUGUGGAGAUAUGGUUUCAUUUCAUGCGACAACUGCCUCAAGCCUUCCCUGUUGCUGCUGCUAUGUGUUGCUUUUGGCUCCAUCAAUCUUAGAUUCUGGGCGAAUGAGAAUACCUUAAAUGUCCUUGAAGGAUAAAGAAGUAAACAGCUGUGCUUCAUCUUGGUCGACUUUUUAUGAUAAAUAAACCAACCAUUAUCGCAGAUUGGGAGGUUGAUAGGCCCAUGAAGGACUUACAAAAGAAGAAGCCCAGCUGAAAGGAGAAGCCCAGCUGCACAAGGAAAGACUAUUCCAGAAGGACCAUGUGGUUGAGUAAGAGUGAAACACUUGUCAGCAUCUUAUUAGUAUAAUGAUAUUAUAAUAUUUGCUUGUUUUGUUAUAAGUAUGGCAGU